GACGAACGCUGGCGGCGUGCUUAACACAUGCAAGUCGAACGAUGAAGCCGGAGCUUGCUCUGGUGAAUUAGUGGCGAACGGGUGAGUAACACGUGAGUAACCUGCCCUUGACUCUGGGAUAACUGCGGGAAACUGUAGCUAAUACCGGAUACGACCCUCGGAGGCAUCUCCUGGGGGUGGAAAGAAUUUCGGUCAAGGAUGGACUCGCGGCCUAUCAGCUAGUUGGUGAGGUAAAGGCUCACCAAGGCGACGACGGGUAGCCGGCCUGAGAGGGUGACCGGCCACACUGUGACUGAGACACGGCCCAGACUCCUACGGGAGGCAGCAGUGGGGAAUAUUGCGCAAUGGGCGAAAGCCUGACGCAGCAACGCCGCGUGCGGGAUGACGGCCUUCGGGUUGUAAACCGCUUUCAGCAGGGAAGAAGCCGCAAGGUGACGGUACCUGCAGAAGAAGCACCGGCUAACUACGUGCCAGCCGCCGCGGUAA
rnacentral:rRNA from 1 species